GAUAAACGCUGGCGGCGCACAUAAGACAUGCAAGUCGAACGGAAGUCGUUAUAAAAAGGAUUGAAGAUUUAUCUAAUUGAGAUUUUAUAACAAUGGCUUUAGUGGCGGACUGGUGAGUAACGCGUGAGUAACCUGCCUACUAGAGGGGAAUAACAGUUGGAAACAGCUGCUAAUACCGCAUAAUGCAACGGAAUCGCAUGACUCUGUUGCCAAAGAUUUAUCGCUCUGAGAUGGCCUCGCGUCUGAUUAGCUAGUUGGCGGGGUAACGGCCCACCGAGGCGACGAUCAGUAGCCGGACUGAGAGGUUGGCCGGCCACAUUGGGACUGAGACACGGCCCAG
rnacentral:rRNA from 1 species